rnacentral:lncRNA from 1 species
ACCCUUUAAUCUCAAAUACUCAUAUUCUCAAAUACCCCUUUAAUCUCAAAUACACAUAUUCUCAAAUACCCUUUAAUCUCAAAUACUCAUAUUCUCAAAUACCCCUUUAAUCUCAAAUACCCCAAUUCUCAAAUACCCUUUAAUCUUAAAUACCCUUUAAUCUCAAAUAUCCCUAUUCUCAAAUACCCCUUUAAUCUCAAAUACCCUUUUAAUCUCAAAUACUCCUUCUUCUCAAAAACCCCUCUAAUCUCAAAUACCUCUUAUUCUAAUCUCAAAUACCCUUUAAUCCAAAAUACCCCCUUAGUCUCAUUUACCCAUUAAUCUUAAAUAUCUCCUUAAUCUCAUAUACCCCUUAAUCCAAUAUAUCCCUAAUCUUAAAUACCCUUUAAUCCCAAAUGUCCUUUAAUCCCAAAUACCACUAAUCUCAAAACCCCUUAAUCUUAAAUAUUCCCCUUAAUCUCAUAUACCCC